rnacentral:lncRNA from 1 species
CCUAGAAAAGGAUCUGUAUGGGGAGCCAAGUAGGAUGCCAAGUGUAGCUGCCUCUUAUGCUGGACACAGAAGAGGGACACCCUGCCCUAGAGAUCACCCCAGAACAGUUGCGAUUAAAGACAUCAGCAACACUGACAGAGGAAGGCACCUUCUGAAGUCUUCUACCCAAGCUUUUCUGGAAACUGUGAUGACAGCUCCUGGUGGGAAAAAUCACCAAUGAUCACAGUAUUGUCUUGCUUCUAGAAGAGAACCAAGGCUGGUGUCAGCUCUAGACUGAUUGUGCUCCAACUUUGUGUCCCUGUCUUUUGGAACCCCUUCAUCAUAUUCUGCAGGUAAGAUUCAUAUUAGUAGAAGUAGAGUUACAAUUUCCACCCUUGGAAUUGAUGUUGAAGCUAUAAUUUCCAAGUCAAUGAUGUUUUGCUCUGAUCUAACAUGGUGGGUUUUAUGGCCUCCCAUAUUCUU